rnacentral:rRNA from 1 species
AACGUAGGUGGCGAGCGUUGUUCGGAUUCACUGGGCGUAAAGGGUGCGUAGGUGGUGAGGUAAGUCGGAUGUGAAAUCUCCGAGCUCAACUCGGAAAUGGCAUUGGAAACUACCUUGCUCGAGGGUUGGAGGGGGGACUGGAAUACUUGGUGUAGCAGUGAAAUGCGUAGAUAUCAAGUGGAACACCAGUGGCGAAGGCGAGUCCCUGGACAACUCCUGACACUGAGGCACGAAAGCUAGGGGAGCAAACAGG